rnacentral:lncRNA from 1 species
GAACAACAAUAUACAUUAAUUACAUGUCAUUGUUUCGCUGGAACAUCCGACAAAGCACGGGAAACAUCCGACAAAGCACGGGAAAUAGAUGAAUGCUUUAGAAGUUGUUGUGCUAUUUGGUAUACUUCAGCAGCAUUUGUACUGAAUGUUGAUUCCAAACAAAAAGAAUUAAAGGAAAAAAGGUACAAUAACUCAAGUUACCUAUAUAACUCCAUGUGUCAAUACAACCUUUUUCAUGUGUAUGGUGAUGAAUUUCCAUAGAACAAAACAAAAAGGCGAAGACUAUCAAGAAAUAAUCAAUUAAAAAAAGUGACAGGACAACAGGUGAAAGCUACGCUCCAUCCAACUAACUGAACAAAUGAGUGUCAUCCAAAUCUCAAAGCUUACUUGUGUGGUGCAUUUAUUGGCGAAAAAGUUACCUGUACAACCACUCACAACCAUUCCUUAGUCUAAAGCAACAAAUCGGGGAUAAGCGUCACUAUGGAUCUUCUAAAAUGCCACAUACCCAAUCUUUCUUUAGGCCAAGGAUACAUGAGGUCUCUUUGUCCGGAACCACCCUGAGCCUUACUCGCAUGCUACUACUUGGUUGACUGUGAUAUAAUAAAGUGUGUGCAAAAUCAGAAGUACAAGUAUCAUGUUAGAUAUAAAUGAAAUUUCUCAUAUUUGUGUUGUACAAGUAUUCUGUAAGAGGAAAAAUAUAAUCUUGAUGAUAGCGGUCAUACACAUAGUAUUAAGCAAGUAUUUAGAAUUUCAGAUAAUGCAUCCGACACCUGCUAGGCUCUAUGUAAUACAUGGUUGUAAUAGGGAUAUGGUUCAAUGUUAAUGCCUUUUAUUGGCAGACGAUCUGUGUCAAUACCAGCUAAGGGCUUACGCGUCAAUACUGGUUACUCGGUAUAAUGUUCAUAUUAUAUUAAAAUGAUUUUUCCCAUGUGAUGGAAACGCAACACCAAUACUAACCCGCACCAUCUUGAAGAAAAGAUCGCGUCUAAUUUUUCAAUACUUUGUAGAAUAACCAUUAUAAAUGUUGUUGAAUGCAUUGCAAUUAAAAUUAACUAAAUCACUACAAUAUUAUAAAGGAGGUGUGCAAUAACUCACCCGAAGCCUUGACCAUGAAUGAAGGCAACUGAAAUUGUAUUCC